UAUAAGUGUAGAGUAUAGGUGUAGGUGUAUAGGUGUAGAGUAUAGAGUAUAGGUGUAUAGGUGUAGGUGUAGAGUAUAGGUGUAGAGUAUAGGUGUAGAGUAUAGGUGUAGAGUAUAGGUGUAGAGUAUAGGUGUAGAGUAUAGGUGUAGAGUAUAGGUGUAGAGUAUAGGUGUAGGUGUAUAGGUGUAUAG